CAGCAGCCACGGGAAAACGUAGGAGGCAAGCGUUGUCCGGAAUUAUUGGGCGUAAAGGGCUCGCAGGCGGUUUCUUAAGUCUGAUGUGAAAGCCCCCGGCUCAACCGGGGAGGGUCAUUGGAAACUGGGAAACUUGAGUGCAGAAGAGGAGAGUGGAAUUCCACGUGUAGCGGUGAAAUGCGUAGAGAUGUGGAGGAACACCAGUGGCGAAGGCGACUCUCUGGUCUGUAACUGACGCUGAGGAGCGAAAGCUAGGGGAGCAAACAGGAUUAGAUACCCCGGUAGUCCCUGUCUCUUAUAC
rnacentral:rRNA from 1 species